UUUUACUCCUUACCGGAGGCAGCAGUGGGGAAUAUUGCACAAUGGGCGCAAGCCUGAUGCAGCGACGCCGCGUGAGGGAUGACGGCCUUCGGGUUGUAAACCUCUUUCAGUAGGGAAGAAGCGAAAGUGACGGUACCUGCAGAAGAAGCGCCGGCUAACUACGUGCCAGCAGCCGCGGUAAUACGUAGGGCGCAAGCGUUAUCCGGAAUUAUUGGGCGUAAAGAGCUCGUAGGCGGUUUGUCGCGUCUGCCGUGAAAGUCCGGGGCUCAACUCCGGAUCUGCGGUGGGUACGGGCAGACUAGAGUGAUGUAGGGGAGACUGGAAUUCCUGGUGUAGCGGUGAAAUGCGCAGAUAUCAGGAGGAACACCGAUGGCGAAGGCAGGUCUCUGGGCAUUAACUGACGCUGAGGAGCGAAAGCAUGGGGAGCGAACAGGAUUAGAUACCCUGGUAGUCCAUGCCGUAAACGUUGGGCACUAGGUGUGGGGGACAUUCCACGUUUUCCGCGCCGUAGCUAACGCAUUAAGUGCCCCGCCUGGGGAGUACGGCCGCAAGGCUAAAACUCAAAGGAAUUGACGGGGGCCCGCACAAGCGGCGGAGCAUGCGGAUUAAUUCGAUGCAACGCGAAGAACCUUACCAAGGCUUGACAUGAACGCGUAAUACCUGAG
rnacentral:rRNA from 1 species